GGGUGAGUAACACGUGAGCAACCUGCCUAUCAGAGGGGGAUAACGAUUGGAAACGAUCGCUAAUACCGCAUGACAUAGCGGAAUCGCAUGGUUCUGUUAUCAAAGAUUUUAUCGCUGAUAGAUGGGCUCGCGUCCGAUUAGAUAGUUGGUGGGGUAACGGCCUACCAAGUCGACGAUCGGUAGCCGGACUGAGAGGUCGAACGGCCACAUUGGGACUGAGACACGGCCCAGACUCCUACGGGAGGCAGCAGUGGGGGAUAUUGCACAACGGGGGAAACCCUGAUGCAGCGACGCCGCGUGAGGGAAGACGGUCCUCUGGAUUGUAAACCUCUGUCUUCGGGGACGAAACGAGACGGUACCCGAGGAGGAAGCCACGGCUAACUACGUGCCAGCAGCCGCGGUAAUACGUAGGUGGCAAGCGUUGUCCGGAAUUACUGGGUGUAAAGGGAGCGUAGGCGGGCAGGCAAGUCAGGCGUGAAAUAUAUCGGCUCAACCGGUAACGGCGCUUGAAACUGCAGGUCUUGAGUGAAGUAGAGGUUGGCGGAAUUCCUAGUGUAGCGGUGAAAUGCGUAGAUAUUAGGAGGAACACCAGUGGCGAAGGCGGCCAACUGGGCUUUUACUGACGCUGAGGCUCGAAAGUGUGGGGAGCAAACAGGAUUAGAUACCCUGGUAGUCCACACCGUAAACGAUGAUUACUAGGUGUGGGGGGACU
rnacentral:rRNA from 1 species